rnacentral:rRNA from 1 species
GACAGAGGCCCCGAGCGUUAGUCGGAAUCACUGGGCUUAAAGGGUGCGUAGGCGGGCGUGUAAGUGUCUCGUGAAAGCCCCGGGCUCAACCCGGGAACCGCGGGGCAUACUGCACGCCUUGAGGAAACUAGAGGCCGGUAGAACGAUCGGUGGAGCGGUGGAAUGCGUAGAGAUCGAUCGGAACGCCAAGGGUGAAGACAGCCGGCUGGGGUUUUCCUGACGCUGAGGCACGAAAGCGUGGGGAUCAAACAGG